rnacentral:lncRNA from 1 species
CCUGGAGCAGGCAGUACAGUGGGAGAACAAGGAGAGAAUGGAGUUGCAGCAGACUGCUCAGGAAUUGUACAUCACCAGUAGCUUCUGUCUCAGCUAAGUGUGGGAGACUGAUACUGAUGAGCCAUUAACAAUGGUGGAGAUUCUGAAUCACUGAAGCACUUGAUAAAAGAAAUGUCGUGGGUGAUGUGAAAAUCUACAUAUGCCCAUGAGAGUAUAUUGAGUUUACAGAAGUGCUUGCCUUGGUGAUCCAAAAAAGGCAGGAUCCGGCCGGGGGCAAGGUGAUUAUUCUGUCUGAUGAGGAGAAUAAGAGCCAGUUUGUGGUAUUGACAGAAGAAUGAAAGUAAAGUCUUGAAAGAUGGGAAGAUCAGGAGCAGUCUGGAGUCAUGGUAUAUGAAUGAACUAGUGAGAGUGGGCACAAAGUCUGAAGAUCUUUGUAGUGCAGCUAAUGUCUAAGGGAGAAUAUACCUACCCUAGAAGAGACAUUAAACAACCAGGUUGUCUCUUCAUUCUGUUGAUUGUUUCCUUUGUUGUAAAAGAAACUCACUUUACAGGAAAAGAGGUGCAACAGUGGCUGGAUGAUUAUAAGAUCGACUGUUCCUAUUAAAAACUACACCAUCCAAAAGAGGCUGCCAUUGAAGAGCAAUAAAGUAGUUCAUAGAAGGCAUAGUUCAACCAAUCUACAAAGGCCAAAAAUAUUUUCACAGGCCCCCAAAAGAUGAACUCCAAUCUGCUGCCCCUAAACGCAUUCUCCACUGUCUGGAAGAUGUGCAAAGGCAACGGCACAGCGUUCUCCAUCUCAAAUCCUUCAAAGUGCUGUCAGAAUAAAAGAAUCCCCACCAAAA